UGGGGAAUAUUGGACAAUGGGCGCAAGCCUGAUCCAGCAAUGCCGCGUGUGUGAUGAAGGCCUGCGGGUUGUAAAGCACUUUCGGUGGGGAAGAAAUACUCAAAGUUAAUAGCUUUGAGGGUUGACGUUACCCACAGAAGAAGCACCGGCUAACUAUGUGCCAGCAGCCGCGGUAAUACAGAGGGUGCAAGCGUUAAUCGGAGUUACUGGGCGUAAAGGGCGCGUAGGCGGAUAUUUAAGUCGGUUGUGAAAUACCUGGGCUUAACCUGGGAAUUGCAAUCGAUACUGGAUAUCUAGAGUAUGGGAGAGGAAAGUGGAAUUCCCGGUGUAGCGGUAAAAUGCGUAGAUAUCGGGAAGAACACCAGCGCGAAGGCGACUUUCUGGACCAAUACUGACGCUGAGGCGCGAAAGCAUGGGGAGCAAACA
rnacentral:rRNA from 1 species